rnacentral:lncRNA from 1 species
CGCCAACUUAUGAAAUUUUUGUUUCGCAAUAUGUCGCUUAGAUAUUUUUUGUAUUGUAUUGUAUAGUUUAUGCGCUUUUAAAUUUCACCCUGCUAAGCCGAACCAUUUUCUUUGUAAGAGUUAUCUCUCUAUUCACUGUUUAUCAAGUGAGUGCAUCUCCUUUGUAACAAAAAAAGAUAUCGACAAAAUUCUUUUUACAAAUUGUUUGUUACAUCCUCAGUAAUUUUUGGCUUAUUUGGAUCGAAGCGAUACGAUGAAAUUUUAUAGGAGUUAUCUACAUUUACAAAAUAAA